AACGCACAUUGCGCCCCUUGGUAUUCCGGGGGGCAUGCCUGUUCGAGCGUCAUUAUAACCCCUCAAGCUCAGCUUGGUGUUGAGGCCUGCCUACUGGCAGCCCUUAAAAUCAGUGGCGGCGCCAUCUGGCUCUAAGCGUAGUAAUUUCUCUCGCUAUAGGGUCCCGAUGGAUGCUUGCCAGCAACCCCCAAUUUUUUAAUGGUUGACCUCGGAUCGGGUAGGGAUACCCGCUGAACUUAA
rnacentral:misc_RNA from 1 species